CACGUAGGGCGCAAGCGUUGUCCGGAAUCAUUGGGCGUAAAGAGCUCGUAGGCGGUUUGUUACGUCUGCUGUGAAACUGGGGCUUAACCCUAGCUUGCAGUGGAUACGGGCAGACUAGAGGUAGGUAGGGGAGAAUGGAAUUCCCGGUGUAGCGGUGAAAUGCGCAGAUAUCGGAAGGAACACCAGUGGCGAAAGCGACUCCUGGUCGAAUACUGACGUUCAUGUGCGAAAGCGUGGGGAGCA
rnacentral:rRNA from 1 species